CACGUAGGUGACAAGCGUUGUCCGGAUUUACUGGGCGUAAAGAGCGCGCAGGCGGUCGUUCAAGUCGAGUGUGAAAGCCCCCGGCUCAACUGGGGAGGGUCACUCGAUACUGAUCGACUCGAAGGCAGGAGAGGGAAGUGGAAUUCCCGGUGUAGUGGUGAAAUGCGUAGAUAUCUGGAGGAAUACCGGUGGCGAAGGCGGCAUCCUGGACCGAGAUUGACACUGAUGAGCGAAAGCUAGGGGAGCAAACGGG
rnacentral:rRNA from 1 species